rnacentral:rRNA from 1 species
AUUGAACGCUGGCGGCAUGCCUUACACAUGCAAGUCGAACGGCAGCACGGGUGCUUGCACCUGGUGGCGAGUGGCGAACGGGUGAGUAAUACAUCGGAACGUACCUUAUCGUGGGGGAUAACGCAGCGAAAGUUGCGCUAAUACCGCAUACGCCCUGAGGGGGAAAGCGGGGGACCGUAAGGCCUCGCGCGAUUAGAGCGGCCGAUGUCUGAUUAGCUUGUUGGUGAGGUAAAAGCUCACUAAGGCGAUGAUCAGUAGCUGGUCUGAGAGGACGAUCAGCCACACUGGGACUGAGACACGGCCCAGACUCCUACGGGAGGCAGCAGUGGGGAAUUUUGGACAAUGGGGGCAACCCUGAUCCAGCAAUGCCGCGUGAGUGAAGAAGGCCUUCGGGUUGCAAAGCUCUUUUGUCAGGGAAGAAACAGCAGCUCUAACACAGUCUGCGAAUGACGGUACCUGAAGAAUAAGCACCGGCUAACUACGUGCCAGCCGCCGCCGUAA